ACAUUGCAGUAAGAACUGCUGGUCACUGCCCCCCUUCCCCAUGGCUAGCUGGUGCCCUGUUAACCCUUACCCUCUUAUUUACACAGCUGCUGGUGUGUAAACAGCCAGAGCUGGUGUAAGUGAUGCAGCUAUGUAGUCUGGACCGAGGUCGGAGGGGGAGGGUUGUCAGGAGAGGCAGUGUUACUUACUAGCUGUUAGGACUGCCCUUCCAGGAAUCCUGCAUAAAAGGACCUUGUUCUGGAUCCAGCGGACAUCACGCCGACGCCAGCAACACCCUAAAUAAGGUCUGUAUAGCACGUCGCUGCCUGUCCUCGCUCUGCUCACAGACAAGGACAGAUGGUUCCGGCUGAUCAUCACAGAGGAGCGGGUGCAGACAGUCUUAUGAUGACCUUGCCUAAUAUCACAUUUGUCACAUUUCAUAUGAUUAUAAAGCCAUUGCAGCAUGUAAAAGUCAAACAAACAAAAACGCGCUGGACCAGUUGUUGCGAUUAAUACCGGCGGGAACUGAAAAGGGCCCUAUUUGUACACGAAACAAUUGUGUUUCCUUACACCAGUCAUGGAAUUAAGGGCCUCCUCCUUCAUCACUCUGUAAGGGUCCACACUUUCAGGUUUAAACUUUUUACCAUUUACAUAACUGAAGAACAUUUUAGGGUUAG